CAGUGCAUUGUGUGUAAUACAACUGUGAUUUUUAUUAAAUUACUUAGUUUUUAAGGAAGGCCAGAGCUUCAGCUGUGUCAAAUAGAUUGUUCCCUUUAGUUUACGUUAUUUAAAAGACAAUUAUAUUCCUAUUUGAUCAAUAAAGGGGUAUUGUAGGCCAAUAUUAGUCAUUUAAAACAUAUACAAUGAUGAUAAUGAUGGUGAAAACCACUCCCCCCACUGGCUACUGACUGUAUUUGAAAUGCUUUUUGUUUAAUAGUAAUAAUAAUCAUUUUUAUUAUAACAACAAUAAACCAGAAGAAGAUUCCGUAGUUACCCCGGCAACGUUACGUCGCGCUUUACGUUAACGUGACGUAGCCACAUUACCCACAAUCACCUCACUUUCAUUAAUUUCAUCCGAUUUAAUCUGACAACGGACAACACUUCAUUACAACACUUAAUAUCACCAACACACACAUAUCCACACACACACACACAUAUAAAACCAACGGCACUUUUAAGAGCCACUCUUUCUCUCACUGUCUCUCUUUCUAUCACUCUCUCACUUUCUCUUUUAAUCACUCUCUCACUUUCUCUGUUAAUCACUCUCCUGUCUUUCUCUCACUCUUCAUUUUGUGUAUUGUUUGUAUUAUUUGUAUGCCAUGUCCCUCAACCCUGAAGUGAGGGUCUUUGAGGAUCUCAAUGAGGCCACGGUGCACAUGGCAUCAUUGAUUAGCGAGGCUCAUCUCCUUGAGGCCAGGACUGCCAUGGCCACGGAACCCCCUGCCAUCCCUCCGGAAAAGAAAAGAAAAAGCAGGAAGAGACCUCUUUCUAAUCCAGUGGUCACACGCAGACGUGAGAGACAACGGGAAACACAACGCCCCGCAUCAGCUUCACAAGCCAGAAGAGACGAUCCUGUGCAUGAGGAAGGCCUUCAGCUAGAACAUCAAG